AAAGGAUUCCUCCUUCCUAUACAGAUAGUGCAACCUAACCUAAACUUUGUGACGGAACUUUGAAGUAAUCCAAAAAGGUGUGCACAGAUGAGAGGUUUCUCCCAUAGGUUUCCAUCAGUCUGCCAUUAUAGCGUAUACCGUGAAUGCCUUGCUUUUAUUUCAUACUUGUUACAGAAAAGCCGUUAUGUACUCGCUGAACGCCCUUGCCAGGCUGCACCAAAUCUGUGUACAGUUUCAGUUUUCUCAGUUGUCACUCAUUAGAGACAGAUGUCUUGUAAUGUUUCAGUAUUUUCUGACUUGAACCUUUUCUUCCCGGUCAGAAUCGGGCUAAAUUUUAUAUUAUUUAUUCUUAUCCUGUUUGUCAUUUGGACAUAGGGUCUCGAUGAGUGUAGGUUGGAAGACCUUAGGCAUACGUCAGAGUUUUAGGCCCCAAACUCCGGAAUUUGGGAUUACCUAUUUUUAAGGGGUGAUUUAUGCCUCUUCUGUGUGUAGGUAAGGAAGUUGGUCCUUUUUAAAGUAGCACCUUAUUUUACUCUAAAAAGGAGUCAUAGAACCUACUUGUGUAAGUGUGCCCACCAUGAGCUGCACUGGACCCUGGGGCUCAGGCCUAGUCACACGGGUAGCAUCUGUUUGCUGAGAAGUGAAAAUACACAUCUGUAGAAAUGUGGCACACGCCUUCCACAACCCAACUGUGAAACACAGGGUCACAUGCUCUGAAAGGUACCUUUUUCAAAGUAUAGUGCCAUCACUUGUCAUAUAAAACCAAAA
rnacentral:lncRNA from 1 species